UUUGAUGCAUGUUGGACGCACACACAAGCAGUAUCAAACUGUUAUAUAUUAUGUAAAGUCAAUGCGCUUAAAAUACUGAGAGAGAGAAAUAGGAAGCUAUAUGAGGUAUCUAAAGGCAUACAUGUGGGAUUGAAGCAGAGUUGAAUAAGAGGAAAUGUACCAUUCAGUAUCCAGAAUGAUUCAUAAGAUACCAAAACCUUCAAAGAAAACAAGUAAGGUUUCAAAUUCUGAAACAAAAAUUGGGAAGGUAAUCUCUUCUCCAAAUUUACUGCAAUUACCUUCAGGACAUUUACAGCAAGGUGCAGCAACGCAAAAACGGUCAAAAUCCACAUCAUAUAUUGCGGAAAAAGAACACGGGCGUCUGGAAAAAGUUAGUUCUUCCAAAUGCAUUGAAAACAUUGAAUCUAAAAUGCAGAACACCCAUAUCAAAAACCACAAAAUUGAUAUGAAGGGAGAUGCCAUAUAUCAAAACGAAGUGUUCUCAGAUGAUAAGCACCCUAAAAUAAUUACUGGACAGCAGAAGAAGUCUCCGCCAAAGCGCCCUCCUCCGCCUAAAGUGUUGCCCGAAAAGUACCAAAACAACGUGUAUGCAAAUUUACAGCGAAGAAAAAGUGAUUCGGAGAUAGGUGGUACAAGACAUGUGUAUGCAAAUUUGGAUGAUGGAAAAAUAGACACAUGUGAAAGUAAAAAAGCGGAAGAUUUGAAUCUUUAUAUUAAUCAAGAAAUCCAAACAAAAGACCUUGAAAAUGUAAUCGAUUGUGAUCAGUAUGAAGAAAUAAUGACAGUAUCUCUUGGAGAAACUUACAUCUCGAUGUCAGGAAACGAUGAGGACGUAGAUGAAAAUGGCUAUGUGACGAUGUCUCGAAAAAGAAGCAUGACGUCAUGAUCCACCCACAGCUCUAUUUUUUUUAUUGAGUGUUGUACAAGUUUUUAAACGCUGCAAACCUCCUACAGUCAUUUCAAUAAAAUCAGACCGUAGGUUCAAUAAACAUAUGUUAAA
rnacentral:sRNA from 1 species